rnacentral:rRNA from 1 species
AAGUCAGAUGUGAAAGACCCGGGGCGUCAACCUCGGAAUUGCAUUUGAAACUAGGCAAACUAGAGUACUGUAGAGGGGGGUAGGAAUUUCAGGUGUAGCGGUGAAAUGCGUAGAGAUCUGAAGGAAUACCGGUGGCGAAGGCGGCCCCCUCGGACAGAUACUGACACUCAGAUGCGAAAGCGUGGGGAGCAAACAGGAUUAGAUACCCCUGGUAG